rnacentral:rRNA from 1 species
CUACGGGAGGCAGCAGUGGGGAAUUUUGGACAAUGGGCGCAAGCCUGAUCCAGCCAUUCCGCGUGCAGGAUGAAGGCCCUCGGGUUGUAAACUGCUUUUGUACGGAACGAAACGCGCUGUGCUAAUACCACGGCGUAAUGACGGUACCGUAAGAAUAAGCACCGGCUAACUACGUGCCAGCAGCCGCGGUAAUACGUAGGGUGCAAGCGUUAAUCGGAAUUACUGGGCGUAAAGCGUGCGCAGGCGGUGAUGUAAGACAGGUGUGAAAUCCCCGGGCUUAACCUGGGAACUGCAUUUGUGACUGCAUUGCUGGAGUGCGGCAGAGGGGGAUGGAAUUCCGCGUGUAGCAGUGAAAUGCGUAGAUAUGCGGAGGAACACCGAUGGCGAAGGCAAUCCCCUGGGCCUGCACUGACGCUCAUGCACGAAAGCGUGGGGAGCAAACAGGAUUAGAUACCCUGGUAGA